UUUGCGUCCUUGGUGUCGACAUUUAAUGAAAUUUAGCGACUAGAAUUGCGUGUCUGAGUAGAAACAUGACGAAUAAGGUGUUUUUCUGAGUGACCACCGAAUCCCAUAUGCUAGAAGAAAUGAGGAUAGACGUGUGUUGGUAUCAAUUGUGAGAAAAGAAAUGUUACUUUAAAAACUUUUAAUUUCUAUCGAUAAUGACCUCUAGAGAGUAUAAUUUAUCAGGAAUAUAUAUAUUGAGAUAUACUGUUCCCAUGUAUUAUUGAGGAACUAGCGGAAGAAUAAACUAUUUGAAGAAGGUGCUGAGGUGACUAGAGUGGAAUACCAUCAGUCCUAAUAUUUCAUACUGCUACACAAAGGCAAGGCAAAAGGUACACACAUGAACACCAUAUAGUGUUUGGAGAGUCUUGCAGAAAAGAACAGAUAAAGUUGAAAGUGCACAUUGCAAGUGCCCUGCAGGCUUGCAAGGAUACUGUAAACAUUGUGUCGCUUUGUUGCAUUUCAUACAUGUAGUUAUGCAAAUAGAGGCAGGAUCUAACAAUUUCAAAGCUUGCUCAUCAAAACCACAAGAGUGAAUGUUCAAGGGAAAAGGGUUACUCAACCUGACUAAUGACUUUGUAAGUAAUCUUGUAGUGAAAAGGUAACUGGUAGAUUUAAAAGUACUCCAAAAGAUUUGAAAAAAGGGGAAAUAAGUCCAGAUUAACUUUUGACCCUACAACAGUCUGCUACUGAAAGGAAAAAAAAAUUGUCAGACUUUAAUUUGGAUAAGCUGGACAAGAUAACCAAUGGAAAUUGUACAUGCUAAUAUUGUAUUCAUCAAGAAGUAAAUUGCUAUUACAUUGAAGAGGAUGUGGAAACUGUUGUCAUUUAACAAUACCUGUUCUUGCAUAUGAAAUUAUUCAAGCAAAGCAAAACAUUAAUCAAACAUUAGUGAAUUUAUAAAAGACAUGGAAGAACUCAUGUUAAAACUUGAUAAUUCAACAACAGAAGAAACUGUUGACUAUGUUGUAAGUCAAACCUUCACGCAAAGUAAAUAAAAAAUAUGGUUUGAUUACAGGAUUGGACGGAUUACUGCAUCAGUGGCAAAUGAAUGUUCAAAAUAACUGGAGAAUGUGUCCAGUACCUCAAUUUGCCUUGUAUUAAGACUAUUAAUUUCAAAAAAGGGGGAACUUCUGUAUGUAAAUUCAAAAGUCAGAAGGCAGUUUGCCACUGAUUCUGAUAACAUUCUAUUUAUGUGUAACAGUAUUUUGCAAUCCAUAGUAGAGUCAUACUACACAGCUGGUCAUUUCUGGUCAGUCAUCUACAAUGUUGUGGUAAUUAGACAAUUUCCUGCUGUGAAGACAAACAAGUGUGUUUGAAUAAAUGAUGUAUCAAUUAUCUG